rnacentral:rRNA from 1 species
UACCCAAUGACGUCUCUAGAAGACAUCUGAAAGAGAUUAAAGAUUUAUCGGUGAUGGAGUGGGGAUGCGUCUGAUUAGCUUGUUGGCGGGGUAACGGCCCACCAAGGCGACGAUCAGUAGGGGUUCUGAGAGGAAGGUCCCCACAUUGGAACUGAGACACGGUCCAAACUCCUACGGGAGGCAGCAGUGAGGAAUAUUGGUCAAUGGGCGAGAGCCUGAACCAGCCAAGUAGCGUGCAGGAUGACGGCCCUAUGGGUUGUAAACUGCUUUUAUAAGGGAAUAAAGUUAGUCUCGUGAGACUUUUGCAUGUACCUUAUGAAUAAGGACCGGCUAAUUCCGUG